AGUAGGCUUCGGUCUAUGAGUAGAGCGGCGCACGGGUGAGUAACGCGUGGAUGAUCUACCCUUGAGUUCGGGAUAACGGUGCGAAAGCGCCGCUAAUACCGUAUAACAAUCCAUUUCAUCGUGGGUUCAAAGCAGGCCUCUUCGUGAAAGCUUGUGCUUGGGGAUGAGUCCGCGUCCCAUUAGCUUGUUGGCGGGGUAACGGCCCACCAAGGCUACGAUGGGUAGCUGGUCUGAGAGGAUGAUCAGCCACACUGGAACUGAAACACGGUCCAGACUCCUACGGGAGGCAGCAGUGGGGAAUAUUGCGCAAUGGGGGAAACCCUGACGCAGCGACGUCGUGUGAGGGAAGAAGGCCUUCGGGUCGUAAACCUCUGUCAGAAGGGAAGAACAUCCGGGAGUCGAACAGCCUCCCGGCCUGACGGUACCUUCAGAGGAAGCGCCGGCUAACUCCGUGCCAGCAGCCGCGGUAAUACGGAGGGCGCAAGCGUUAAUCGGAAUCACUGGGCGUAAAGCGUGCGUAGGCUGUUUGAUAAGUCAGACGUGAAAUCCCUCGGCUCAACCGGGGAACUGCGUUUGAUACUG
rnacentral:rRNA from 1 species